UGCGUGCAUUUUGCAGUAUUGGUUUUGUAUUAAUUUUGUGAUUCUACAAGACUGUCAUGUCUGCAGUGGCUGUAAUGCAGUAAAUCAUCAGUAAAUGGAGAUAUUUGACGGUAUUAUAGAUAUAUAAUCGGGUUUCCAAGGGAAUAAUAUAUAUUAAGUCGCACACAAUUGUGUCAACUUACAUUUUUCCAUGGAAGCAAUCAGUUUUU
rnacentral:lncRNA from 1 species